rnacentral:rRNA from 1 species
GCACGGGUGCGUAACGCGUAUAGAACCUACCUUUUACAAAGGGAUAGCCUUUAGAAAUGAAGAUUAAUACCUUAUAGUAUUGGAGAUUGGCAUCAAUCACUAAUUAAAGAUUUAUCGGUAAAAGAUGGCUAUGCGUCCUAUUAGCUAGAUGGUAAGGUAACGGCUUACCAUGGCAACGAUAGGUAGGGGUCCUGAGAGGGAGAUCCCCCACACUGGUACUGAGACACGGACCAGACUCCUACGGGGGGCAGCAGUGAGGAAUAUUGGGCAGUGGAGGCAACUCUGACCCAGCCAUGCCGCGUGCAGGAAGAAGGUUCUAUGGAUCGUAAACUGCUUUUAUACAGGAAGAAACAUCUCUACGUGUAGAGACUUGACGGUACUGUAAGAAUAAGCACCGGCUAACUCCGUGCCAGCAGCCGCGGUAAUACGGAGGGUGCAAGCGUUAUCCGGAAUCAUUGGGUUUAAAGGGUCCGCAGGCG